rnacentral:misc_RNA from 1 species
CCGAGUUUUAUUACUCAAAACCACUGCGAACCUACCUUUCAAUGCUUCGGUGGCCGGCCCUGGGGGGGGCGUCAAAACGGUCGCCGACAGUGUUUAAAAUCUCUAUCAGUGUAUUCUGAGUCACAAAAAAAACAAAUCA